CGUGCCACAACGACUCUGUUUCGGUUGGCUUGUCAGCAGCACGAGACGCGCGGCAGAUUGUGUUCAGUUAACUGACAGGUUGUGGCGGCUGUCAGCUUGUUAGCGUCUUUUGUUAUCUUCGGCUUUGUUUUAAGCGGUCGCUCGUUCGUGUUAUGUUGAAGACGCGGCUUUCACUUUUAAACAGCGGUAACAGAGAACCGCCACAGCUCUGAAGUGAAGCUCCCGGGGCGGCUGGCGCCCUUUGUAACUCUAAAGUGAAUGACUGUGUGUGCUGCCAGCUUCUUGACUCCAGUAACCGACUCCCAUGCCUCCAGGAACUGUCUGAUUCUGGAUCUGUGGAGCAGGAAUAGGACAGGCCCAGGCAGAAAGAGAUGAGCUGGGCAGAGGAAGACUGGACGGUGGGGCUGUCUGGACGGGUCCUGCAGAAGGUGAAGGAGCUGCAGGUCCACCAGGAGCGACUGUCCAGAGAGAACAAGCAGAAACAGCUGCAGCUGGACAACAUCCAUACUAGCCUUGAAAAACAGACUGUGAAGUAUGAAGAAGUGCGUGGGGAACUCCAGUCAGUGCAGAGGGAGCUGCAGAGGGUUCAAGAUGAGGCCAAGGCAGCAGUGACCAGUGGGGAACGUCUGACCCAGGAGCUUCAGACCAAGCAGGCUCAAGUGUGCUCUUUUGAAGGCCAGCUAGAUGCUGCUCGCACCCUCAAUAACAAACUCACCCAGGAAGUGAAAAGGCUGGAGGCAGAGCUGGAGAAACUGCAGAACAGUGGCAGGUCAGCAGAUACCACUCUGUUUUCUACACCCUGCUGGAAUACAACCUCGCCCUGGGAACACAAUGGAAGCAGAAAGGAAGAGAGGUCGGCACAUCAAGAUGAAGGACAGAGCCGGUCACUUAACAUCCGACAGCGCCUCCAGUUCUCUGAAGUGGCCACAGCCUCGUUACCCAGACAACAGCACAGGAACACACCCAGCCGCAAUCCAUCUGACCAAUCUGACUCCUUCUCCACUCCCUUGGGUGCAUUUCCGUGGGAACGGGAUGACUCGAGGCCAGCAGCUAGGAGACGAUCCCCGCCCUCUCCCAAGAUGCCCUGCGCUGAGGUCGUCGGUCAAGGCCAGUCGGAGCAGGGGAUCUGUGGGAAGGAGACGGACUACAGGGCAGAGACAGACACAUUGCGGAGUCGUCUGUCUGCUCUGGAGGGGGAGCUGUGUUCGAAGGCCACAAUGUUGAAGUCGAUUCAGAAUGAACUGACACAAUCCAAGAAGGAGCUCGCUGCCAGGGAGCUCAUCGUUCAGAAAUCGCGUGAUGAGCUCAGCCUGGCACACACACGCAUAGCCCGGGAGAGUGAACGGGCAUCAGGAGCUGAACAAAGGGUGAAGCAGCUACAGGAGGAGCUGAAGUGUCAGAGGCAAAAUGCAGAGAGCAGCCGACUGCAACACCAACAGCGCUCCAAGGAGCUGGAGAAACAACAUCAAAGGGAUUUGACAGAGCUUCAGAGGGAGAGGCAGUGUCUAGAGAAGCAGCAUCAACAGGAGGUUAAUAAGCUCAACCAGGAGAUCCAGCAGGCCAGGACACUCCACAAUGCCCUGCAGGCCCAGGCUGACAAGUUGUCUCUACAGAAGCAGGCUUUGGAGAAAGAGUUGGACACUCUGAAAGAGAAACUGAAGUGGACGGAGGGGCAGCUGCAGGAGAGCCAGAAGAAAGAAGCACAGACACAAGCCAAACUGACGGAAGCGGUGCGUGAGGCCGAGGGUGUGGCAGUGAGUCUGGAACAGAGCAGGAAGAAAGAGCGAGCUCUGGAGGAGGAGGGGAGGAGACUGGCAGAGGAGCGAGCCGACGCCCUUCGUCUCCUCAAAGAACUGCAGGAACAAAAAGAUGCCCCGGCACCACUUUUACAACCUGUCCAGUUUUGCCCUGUGGGACAGGGUUUCUCUCCUCAACCUUCUUACUCCCUCAAUUCUCGGCAAUCACCUCACAUCAGGAGGUCCACCACUGCCACCCUCGCUGAGCAGAAAAGGGAAGAGGAAGUGGGUAAGAGAAGGGCAGAGAUUACCGCAUCUUACCCCUCUGACAGAGAGCCAGGGGAAGGCAUUGACUCAGAACACAUCAAUGUUCUUCUCUCGUCAGACACUGAAUGCUUGCAAAGGGAAGGACACAGAAAAAGAAGUGAGGAGGAGAAUAAGAGGGAAAAUGAGGCGAUAGAGAGUGACAGCUCUGGGAGAAACAAACACUCCACUUUUGAUCAUGCACUCUCGACUUUGUCUCAUUCUGCUGCUGGUAGGCCCACGAAUAACUCCAUGGAUGGUGAUCGUUGCGAUUUGAUGCGUUCUGCUGAAGAGACACCUCAUAAGUCUGAGCAGGCCAAGGCCUCUGAAGACCUCAAGAGGGAGAAUGCUGGAUUGCGUUCAGAGCUUCAUGAUGUACGCGAAGAACUGCAGAAGCGACUCGAGGACCUGGAAGCCCAACGACGAGCUGAGGCAGAAGCACGGACCAGGCUCAAACAGCUCAGCCGAAAACAUGCCAGUCAGUCGGUGGAGAAGAACGAGCAGGACAAACAGUGGAGGGCACAGCUGGAGAGUGAGAAGGCUGAGACAGAGAGGUUGAGGAAGACCAUUGCUGCUUUGGAGACAGAAAUGAAGCAAGGAAAGGAGAAAAGAGAAAAGAAUGAGAGAGAGGAGGCAGAGGAGAAAAACAAAGCACUAGAAGACCGGGAGAGUGAAAUGAUUGAGCUUAAUAUCCAGCUAAAGAAACAGCUAGCGGAUCUGAAGGCCCAGCUGGCUUUAGAACGAGAAGAAAGAAAAAGAGAGGAAGAGGAGAGGAACCAAAUAACAAACACAGACAUGGAUGUAAAGAAGGAGCUGAGCAUGAAACUGGAAGAACUUAAAACUGAAUUGGAAGAAUUAAAGCGUAGCAGAACAGAAGACUCGCUGGAAGAUGAGAAACUCUCAGCUGCCAGCAGCCCACUGACGUACCUGACUCUCCAUGACGAUGAACUCAACUCUAACAUGGUUCACUGUGACGAGUCCUUCUUGUCGCCAGAGCAGCACCUCAUCUUCUGUCAGUCCACCAAUCAACACAACGUGCUUGUAUCUCAGGCAACAACAGAUCUCAUCCAGGAAGAGCGAACGGUCAUAAAUCCUGAAGUGGCGUCUGACCUGGAAGACACUAGACAAAACAACAGGACGAUAAGUUCUGGUGCCCUGAAGGAUGAGUCUAGGUCCUCAGAUUUGAUGAAAGAGGUGAAACACCUGCAGACGGAGAAGGCAAAGGAGACAGAACGUGCUAACCAGUAUCAGGUUAAACUGGAGGCCCUGCAGAGCCAGGUGACACGUCAGACCCAGCAGCUAACUAUGGCCUUUGAGAAACAGAGUCAGCACAUAUCUGGUCUCCUAGCUGAGCUGCAAGAGAAAGAGCGCUCCCUCCUCAGCCAGGGAGAGGAACUGCAGCGCUACAAGCAAGAAGUGGAUGCACUCAAGGCCCAAAAACAGGAAGAGGAGAUGAUGGUUAAAGAGACUGAGGAUGGGGAACAAAUAGAAGGGGCACGAGAUGAGAGUUCAACGGAGAUCUCAGGACUUCAGCCAAACCACGAAAAGGAGGGGGCUGUCUCUUCCCUUACUACAAACUCACAAGCAGGUGGUGUUUCCAUUGCACAGAGAGAUGCAGGUCAGCAGUCAGCAGAGAUUAUUACAUCUGAAAGACCACCAACUAUCACUGACAAUGAAGCGCUGUGGUCAGGGGAGCAGCAUCCAGACAAGACUGAGAGUAACCAUGACUUUACUUGUGUUAUGGGAGAGACGGAGUGCAGUCAAGAUGAAGGAACAGCAGACGUGGUUCUGGAACUGCUCGCUCUGCGGCAGGAGAAUCAACUGCUGAAACAAAGAAUAUCCAGCUUGACUGUCUCAGACACCAGCACUCCAGUGUUACACAGUGAUGCUGAGAACCAAGAAGACCCAGCUAACCAAAGCCAAAACACAGGAAAUGCUUCUCUGCCUUGCCCAGUGGAGCAGAGGUCGUCUGGCGUGUUGAAUGACAUCAGCAAUGGAGUACAACAGUCAGCGCUUCAGAGUGGGAAAAGGAUUGAAGAUGAGGGAGGAGAUUUAGAAAGGGAAGAGGGGAAGACUGCAGGGACUGAAGAAGUACUGGAGGCAGUAUGUCCGCUUCAGAUUCAGCGCCUUCAGCAACAGGUGGUGGAGCUGAACAUGAAGGUUCGGGCUCUCUCUGAGGAGACCCAGCAGCAGACUGAGGAGCUUGCUGUGUGGAGACUUGCCUCCCAGCCAGCUCCAACUUUUGACCUUACCAACACAGACAACGAGUCUGAGACCCAAGACAAGAUCUCUGCUAUUAGACAGUCAAACCAGCAGCAGACUGAUGCGAUGAUGCAAGCUCAGGUUCAGGCACCUCAUCUGGAUGUUGAGGAGAGCCACGGUAAUAUCACCCUCAUCAGAGAGGACGAGUUACUCCUCUCCUGCUCCUCCAGCAAACUGCAGGGCCGCAUGUUGUUCUCCAGACUGCAGCACAGGAACCAUCCUGGACCAAAGAGUUUCCAGCCCUCUAAAAAGACCACAUCCCCUCAGGAGUAUAUUUGCGACACUGCCGAAAUUGACAAGGACUCUGAAAAAGAAAACCAAGAAAUUACCCUUUCACGUCAGUCAAAUAUCUGUCAAACACAGCAAAAACAGAAGACGGAGAGUGAAGUUGUCCAAAUGUCAUCUGAGAAAACGGGUCAACAGCAAGUCACCAAAGAUUCUCACAAAGUUUCAGGACCAAAGCAGACCAAAACAGCCGAGUGUCACAUGGGGAAUCCAGAUGCUUCCAGACUGACCAAUGAAAUAAAAAACAACAUUGACUACUCAAAAGGAGAUGUCAGGACAGAAAUGAAAAGUACCAGCAGUCAAACAGAGGAGAGUUUGUAUCCUCGCAGCUCUCUGCCAGCACCCGAACUCCACUGUGCAUACACACAGACGGAGGAGGAGGAGGAGGAGGAGGAAGAUGAUGAAGACGAGUCAGUGGAAUCACCUCCGGUCUCUCCUGUCCCAUUACGUGAGGAGCCUGUUUCAGCUGACAAGAUCUUGUUUUCGGGUUCCUUCCCUAUCCCAGCUGACCCGGCCCGUCUGGCUGAAAGAAUUCGCCGUAACAGGACGCAGCUUUCAGCUGCCUUUGAUGACACAGAGUAUGAACCUUAUGGGCUGCCGGAAGUCGUCAUGAAAGGUUUUGCAGACAUCCCCAGUGGUCCCUCAUGCCCCUACAUUGUGAGAAGAGGUUUGCUAGGGACAAGUGUCGUACCUGUCCCUCAGAAAAAACAGAAAGAGGAGGAGACCGAUUAAAACAAAACGACAGGUUACCAGAUACUUGCACUUUGGGUCGGGGCAUUGGCCAACACUGGUCAGAACAUCGGCCAACCCAAAGCGUCAGUUUUUGAUGAGCUCGGAAUGAAACGGCCAAUUCAAGACGCUCACAACUCUCAGAGAAGCGGUGGAAAAUCCUGAUGACUGUGGCUUGACAAUGAACAUCAGUGAUGGACGACAGCAGCUGUACAGAGAUUCUUCACUCACCAGCAACCUGAAGCACUUCAGACUGACACAGGGCCAGUUUACAUAGUGCUGCAAUCACUCAUGGACUUCUGUGCAUGUGUGCAGGUAACUGGGCCUGCACUGGCAGAAUGAACACCUCCACCGUGGAGCUAAAAUGUCUUAAUGGUCACUGGUUCAUCCUCUAAUUGCUGUGUGGAGACUUCACACCCACCUGUAUAUUUAGGAACAGACGUAGUGAUUAACUGAUGUUUGUUGAUGUUUGUUGAGGCAACAACCACUCUUCCAAAGGGACUGUUUAGUUUUUAGCAACUUAUGGGUCCAGCCUUCUUUGAAUGAAUCAGUGCCUAGUUGAUGUUUUUCCAAACAAACGCUUAUCAAGAUAAGUUUGACUUGUUUUCCAAAAAGGGUGAAACCAAGGGAGGCCUGUUGUGAUGAUAUAUUAUAUUUUCUUCUUUUUAAUCCUUGAGGUGGCUUAUUUAUGGACACUUGAAUGUGUUUUAGUGAGGGCAGGUGUUUACAGAAAUUGUGUGAAAGCCCAGUGAGUGUGUGUGAGACAUUAGCUGUGAAUAUGAACAUGUGUGUCCUCAUCUUGAUGUUACUGUUUGUAUAUAUAUGUGUGUGUGUGUGUGUGUGUGUGAGAGAGAGAGAGAGAGAAAGAGAGGGGCGAGCUCGUCUUAUGACUCAGUCAAACCUGCGAUGGUUUCCGCUCCAUGUAUGGUGAUGCACACUGCGCUCCCUCUUUCCUCCUUCUGCUGCUUUGCUUCUGUGUCGCACGCUAACGAGCAGUUAGUGGUCAGCCCUGGGAUGCAUUUACCAAAAACUAACAUUUGAAGCUUUACUUUUAUUUACAGAGCUUUCAGAAAAAAUCAAUUGGUUUCUUAUAUUUGAUCGGAUAUUAUUUAUUUGAUGUUUCUGUUUUUGGCUUUUGCACAUUAGUUACAGUGUUGUAGCCAACAGUAGCCAACAUGUAUGUACACUGUAGGUUUUGUAGAUAGUUGAUGUAUAGUUUGUGUUUUGCCCUAUAACAGAGGAUCUCACCACUUUGCCUGCUUACAAGGUUUGUACAGUUUAUUAAAGAUAGGUUCACAUUUUCUAAUCUAAAACAAUACUCACACGCCCACAAUGAAAGAAGUAAACGUUGUAAUUGUUUCUCUUGUCCAUAGUCUUCUACUAAAGUAGUUUUAAUGUAAGGGAGAGGGCAAAAUCCAAGGUGUUCAUCAUGUGUAAGAGUUUAAUAGAUGCUGCUAUGCUUGAUGAUGUAAUGAAUAAACUCGCAGGGCUUGCUAAAUAAACUUGAUGCCUGUCAGUCCUCAUAGCCCGUGGAGAAUUUCUUUUUUCUCUCUAGCUUAGCUCAGUUGCUAAUGAGACAAGAAGUUCACACAGUUUAUUCAAAAGACAAAUGUACCAUCAACUCUUGUCUCAUAACGGUCUGUAAACUAUUACUCUUUGGGGAGGCAUUAAUAUGAUGAACUUUAUUUGACCGUCAGAGGAGAAAAAAGAUUCAACUGAAUAAAGAAACUCGGCCAAUAAGCUACAAAACCUUCAGCCAUUUUGGUCUCUCUGUCUCCUCAGAGGUACAUAGCUUGUUAUUGAGCAGCCGCGUGAAUUCACAGCAUCAGUAUUUACUUGGAGUUCACAGUGUUUUCCCAUUGCAUUUAAGCAGGUUUUUUAAUAGCGAUAUAUCCAAUUGAUGCAACUGAUAUGUGAGAUACACAAAAUAAGAAAACAACUUUUUGAAUGGUUUGCAUCAUGUCAGCCUGAUUAAAGCAUCAUUUUAUCAGCAUGUCAUCUGGGCAGAAGUGUUCAGGGUGUCAGUAAAUCAUUUUAAAGCUUUUAUCUUCUGAUACUGAUGACAUGCUGAUAUUAUUGUACAUCUAUAAGAUCAUAAGUUUAACUCAGUUUGAAAAAUACUUUUCAUUGGAGUAAAUUGAAAUGUUAAUCUUACGUUUUCACCACAGUAUUUACUUGCUGAGUUCUGAUGUAGGACCGCUAACAAAAGGAGGGAAUUUUAUACUACUCAGACUGUAAAUUUUGAAAGAUACCUAAGCUUGAUAUUAACUUCUAAAACUGUGAGUUUUGUCCCCACUUUAAGAAACCUUUACUUUGAAUAUAAAUGGAAGCAUGUGAGUAUUGUUAUAAGACGUGAACAAAAUGUGUACGUAUCCUUUGAAACAUUGCUGAGCUCUCUUCCGUAACUUUUGAUAUAACUUCAGCUGAAGGUUUUUGACAUACUUGUGUUAAAAGUGUGGACUGAUUUGGUUUUCUUCUGUUAACAUCUAUUUAGAUGUAGAGUCGUUCUCUCCUGGCCUCGGUUUGUUGACUGAGUCAGAACAGUGUGGACUGUUACUGCCCCAACUAGAUGCCAUUUGCCAUGUUGACACACACACACACACACACACACACACACACACACACACACACACACACACACACACUGUCCCUCUCUUUCAGCUGCCUUCAUAUCUCUGGGAUCUGUAGUCUUUUGGCAGUGAGGUGGGAUUGUCGGACUCUGAGCACAGACGCUCACUGAUUAACUCACUGUGUAUUUGUUGCCUUGUUUUGGACACUUUGAUGUGAAUGUAUCUGUGUUUGCGGCUAGAAUAAAAGGCUUGCUCUUAAUUUAA